GACGAACGCUGGCGGCGUGCUUAACACAUGCAAGUCGAGCGGUAAGGCCCUUUCGGGGGUACACGAGCGGCGAACGGGUGAGUAACACGUGGGUGACCUGCCCUUAGCUCUGGGAUAAGCCUGGGAAACUGGGUCUAAUACCGGAUAUGACUCCAUGACGCAUGUUGUGGGGUGGAAAGCCUUGUGCGGCUAGGGAUGGGCCUGCGGCCUAUCAGCUUGUUGGUGGGGUGANGGCCUACCAAGGCGACGACGGAUAGCCGGCCUGAGAGGGCGACCGGCCACACUGGGACUGAGACACGGCCCAGACUCCUACGGGAGGCAGCAGUGGGGAAUCUUGCGCAAUGGGCGAAAGCCUGACGCAGCGACGCCGCGUGGGGAUGACGGCCU
rnacentral:rRNA from 1 species